rnacentral:rRNA from 1 species
AACGAACGCUGGCGGCAGGCUUAACACAUGCAAGUCGAACGGUUGUAGCAAUACAGCAGUGGCAGACGGGUGAGUAACACGUGGGAACCUUCCUAGGGGUACGGAACAACUCAGGGAAACUUGAGCUAAUACCGUAUACGUCCGUGAGGAGAAAGAUUUAUCGCCCUUAGACGGGCCCGCGUAGGAUUAGGUAGUUGGUGGGGUAAUGGCCUACCAAGCCUACGAUCCUUAGCUGAUCUGAGAGGAUGAUCAGCCACACUGGGACUGAGACACGGCCCAGACUCCUACGGGAGGCAGCAGUGGGGAAUCUUGCGCAAUGGGCGAAAGCCUGACGCAGCGACGCCGCGUGAGGGAUGACGGCCUU